ensembl:lncRNA
CUCUGGGGAAAGAUCUCUGGUUGGAGAUCCCUCUCUUGUGGAUUUUUCUCUGUGAGCCUCUAUCUUCAGAGACGGGUCAUGGUAGUUUAUAGACAAGCUGCAUCAGAGGAAAUGUGAAGAACUGGUAAGGAUUUGACCUGAUGCACAGAAGCUUUUUAGAAGUCCUGGUGUAUCCUCAGCUGCCUGAGUCAACGUGAGCUUUGUUCCUGACCUUGGUGAACUCAGGACUUCACUGUUGUGUACAUUUGCUGCCUAACAGGAACUCUCUGUGAUUUGUUAGCAUUUUGUGAUGUUCACCAUGAGAUGUCUUCAUGCUAUGGCCACAUUAGAAAAUAAAUCAG